rnacentral:rRNA from 1 species
ACAUCUAAGUACCCUGAGGAAAAGAAAUCAACCGAGAUUCCCUUAGUAGUGGCGAGCGAACGGGGACCAGCCCUUAAGCUGUAUUGAUGUUAGCGGAACGCUCUGGAAAGUGCGGCCAUAGUGGGUGAUAGCCCUGUACGCGAAAACAUCUUUGCAGUGAAAUCGAGUAGGACGGAGCACGAGAAACUUUGUCUGAAUAUGGGGGGACCAUCCUCCAAGGCUAAAUACUACUGACUGACCGAUAGUGAACUAGUACCGUGAGGGAAAGGCGAAAAGAACCCCGGAGAGGGGAGUGAAAUAGAUCCUGAAACCGUAUGCGUACAAGCAGUGGGAGCCCACUU